GCAUAUCGAAUCUUUUCUUCAUCAAUACACUCUUGGAUAGCGAAGGCCUUCUCCAUCUCCAUUAUCCAGUUAUCAGCCUCCAAAGGUUCAGUAGUCCCCUUGAAAGCUGGAGGUACAAGCUUUUUAAAUUCUGAAAUAUUGUUCCAUUAUACUGGUUGCUCUCCAUGUUGUGGUGGUGGAUGCUGAUGUUGUUGUGUAUCUCGUUGUAUCUGCUGUUGUUCAAGCAUUUGCUGCUGUAUUUGUUGUUGUACUUGUACCAUCCUGAUAGGGUCUGCAUUAACUGAGCCAUAUCUGGUUCCUGAUGUGCUCUCGAAGUAUUCCCAUUAGGAUCUACGACUCCCUCCUCCUGAGGGGUGCCACUGAUCAGAUGGGGAGUGCUACCAUCCCGUGGUUGUGAAUGUCUCUCUUGUAAUUCCUUGAGUAGUUCUUGUCAUUCUACGGGGAGGCAUGAUAACCUUGUAGUAGUAAAACCUUAUUAGAUUUAUUUAUCUAUUUGUUAGGAUGGGUUUAUUAUGAUGUUCAUACUUUAACAUCCCAAUAUUUCUAAUGUUUACCCCCCUACACUCAUACUAUGUCUAAUUUUUUAUGUGUCAUAAUUUAUCCACUUAUGCUCUGAUACCAUAUUAAUUGUCACGCCCUC
rnacentral:lncRNA from 1 species